GCUUCUUUCCUUGCAUCUUCCUCCUCUUCGUCUUCGCCUGUUUCUUCCUCCGCUAUUUUCCUCUUCUUCUUGUUCUUCGCUGAUUUUCGUCUUCUUCUUCGCAGGCUAUUUUGCUCGUGUCCUUGAUCCUAUUCUGGGGUCUUCGUCGCUUUCUCGCGCUGCUGCCUUGGCCGCUCGUUCGUCCUGGUUUGUCGGUGGUCGUUAGAUUUUGGUACGAGCGUCUUGAUGUAACUCAUGAUGUCCCGCUGCUCUUCUGUUCCUUUUUUCUUUUCUGGUAUUUCGCGGAGGAAUUUCAAUUUUCGUAGCAAUUACGGCGGAGUUUCUUUCAACCGGUCUUCAUGCGACCUCAACUGGAUGAAUGAAUGACCGGUUAAUCCAAGGAUACGCGUAGAUUCCAGAUAUCAUACACGCCAGAUGACACAAAGAAGAAAAGGCGCUUAAACACAGACUCCUUUCACUUCCUAAACACCGUAAGUAUUACGUUGACAUAUCGUAGAAAUAUUUUUCACAAUUUCUAUACAUUCAUGCAUACGAUUAAACUGUCCAAUCAAAAUUCGCAAGUACAUGAACAUCCGUGUCUCGUUGAUUUUUUAAUCGUCUUAAUAACGUUUACGUAUACCGUUGCCAGAGAAGAAGAAGAAGAAGAAGAAGAAGAAGAAGCAAAAUUUGGACGAAGAAAACCGAUAGAGUGGCAGAUUGUACGGAGAGACGUGCAGCGGAAGAUUGAAAUUAAUCAGCUCUUGGAUGGAUCGUUAUUUCUAUUAUCCUGCGUUUCGCUCUCAGCAAGUUUCACAGCGAAGGACAGCGGACUUUCUCAAAUUUCACGUGUAUUAUUUACUCAAUUGGUCACGGUUCUUCCCUCUCGCUGGCCUUCUUAAUAGACGGCCAGAUGGAGUUAGUCAAUGCCUAAUGAAUUACUUAUCGCUGAGGGAGGAUCGGGGCAGCGAGAAAAGGGCGAGGGAGAUUUGAUUAAUGAUUAUAGUUGUUCGGUUAACAUCUGAGAUUCCGCUUUUUUCUCCCCUGCUGUAUUAUUGGCUUCUACUGUAAACUUAUUAACCUUACGUUUUCAUCCGUCCUUCCUUUUGUAUGUUUUCUUUGUGAAUGAUUAUAUAUGGGAGGCAGGCUCGGGUAAAUUUGAUUUCUAAUACAAAUAAAAAAUAACUACUCGAAAGAGGGGAUCGUUUGUUGCUUUUAACUGAAGAAACGACAGAGGGAAAAAUAUCAAUGGUUUUAUGGCGAGCUAUUUAAUAGCGACAUAAUUAUAGAAGCAAAAGCAAGAGCAACACGAACGAACAAAUUUAUAUAAGCGAAAAUUUAUCGUGGCUUUUUUUAACAAGAAGAUGCAUAAUUUAUACUGAUUAUGUAGUUUGAUGCUGCGCACAGAAGGAUAAGGAAGAGGAAGGAGGAAAAAUUAAAGAGCCGAUCGAGGUCGUUAGAGAUACAAUCUCCGGAAUUGCCGAUCAAAAGCUUGAAAUCAGAUCCCACGGUUGUGAUUAUGGCGUCAUGAGCGGUAAUGGGAUCGUAUCAACCUGAAAUUUUAUUACUUUCAAUAUUUGCCACGUCCGCAAUCCCACGUAUCCCAAUUUCCCAUUUAUUUUCAUCUUUCGUGCAUAUUUUCCAUUUUUAAGAUACACGUCGCUGCCUUUCCAAUUCUACGAUAUUCCAAAAUAUUCGUAAGAUAAAACGACGCUAUAAUAAUAAACACGGAGUGUUGUAACGCGUUCCCUUCCUGUCGUGACAUAAAACGAUAAUAAAAUGUAAGAUAGUUUAUCGAUCGACAGGUUGGCGCUUCUUAGAUGCUCAUCUUUUCGCUGCCCUUCAACAACAAAUUUUAUCUCGCGAUAUACCGCGAUAGGAUUCUCAUGCCGAUCCUUCCUACUUGCAAUUUUCUAACCGAUUUGUAUUCCGUGAGAAACAAUUAAUUGGCCGUAUACUUCUCAACGACAACCGUAAGUUUCAACAUGUCGCUACGAGGAUAGAUGGAUUCAUACUGCUACACAGUUUUGUACUCCAUGUUCGUUGUUGCAGUAGAUACACAGUAUCUAUUACCUGUUUAAUGUGUUACGCAAGUUAGCUGUUUAAUGUGAAGAAAUAUCUACUACUUCGCCGAAUGACAAGAUCACGAUGUAUUCGGAUGGCAACUAAGUGAUUGGCGAUUUUACCAUUAGGUGGUAAUGACAAAUUCUGCAAUCACUUAGUUGCCAACCCAAUAGAAAUACGUAGGACGCGAUCUGUACGAGUCAGGCGGACAAAAAGAAACGGAAGCUCCGGCGUAUUAUCAUGGAGCGCUGCAGCUUCCUAAACCCUCGCCAAAGAAACGAGCGAAGGAGGAAACGCAGAGCGUGGCAGUAGGCAGAAAAACCCUCGAAACGAGGAGUGAAACAGGUGCCAAGAAAACACGUUCGCUCGUGCGCUCGCGCGUGCAGACAUUAGUCGCCACUGUCGGCAGUCGCGCGCCCUCGUCAAGGUGCGUUUUCACCGACUUCUGCGGGCGCCCUUUUUCCCUCCGCUUUGCGAAUAUUCAAUCGCGGACGAGCGUGGUUUCGUUGCUCGACGAUCGCACGUCUAACCGGAAAUCGAACGUCCGAGUGCUGUAAAGGCUGGUUCAUACACGGCCACAGGUUUAAUCGAGCAAAGCGGACGAGCGGAGCUGAAUUUACGCUGUUGAUUCGCGGAAAAGUAACGUUUUCGUCUUCGUCCACGGUGAUCCUACAACGCGAAUAGCGUCAAUUCGGCUUUACUCGCUGCUUCAACUUACUUAAACUACUGGCCGUGUGUGAACCAGCCUUAAGGGCGCUGCGAUCGCGCGCUCGGGGACCAGACCGAGUUUAGACGAUUUUGGAAUCGUUGUAGACGAGUUUGCGAACAGAUUCGCGAAAUUCGAUAACUGUUUACGGUAUAACGCUAUCGCUACUUUGGUGUAAACUGAGAGGCCUGAGAAGCCUUUGGAUGUGGAGAAGUCGCUGAAACGCAGCAACGAACUGCUAGACGUAGCGAGAAACACGUCGAUGAACCAUCGAAAACAGUGUUCUCCUCUUAUGUGAUCCAAGCUCGAACGAACGAAAGCAAAUGAAAAAGACAAAAAGCGAGCAAGAAGAGAAGAAAAAAGAGAAAAGAUAUAUAAGAACCUUCGAAGAGACUGAAGAGUAGAGCGAACAGAUAGAAACAGAGUAAAUGCUACAGCUUAGAGCGAAGAAGGAUAGGACGAGGCCAAGGGAUAAAAAAAAAAGGAAGAGCGUGUUUUCGAGCGGAGAAAAGGAUCAAAGGAGGCUGAGAAGAGAGCAAGAGGCGAGAGACUGGAGGAUCGAAGGUGUUUUUCGGGGCGUGGCGAGGGCCGCGUGAUUACCAGGAGGAUCGGUUAGCGCGGUGAGAGUUCAAAGCAUCAAAGAGGCCCGACCAGCGAGAAAUUGCUUAGGAUUCAUCUGCCGGCACGGGACCCUCCGGACGCGUUUCGUUCUCUUCUCUUCUCUUCUCUUCUCGUUCUCUAUCUGUUCUGCGGCCGGGGUAUUGUGAAUACGCCUGGCACCUUGGACCGCGAUCCGACUCUGCUCGAGAGCACGACUCCUUCACCGUGAUGGGCCUCGCAGCACUCGCGGCGGCAAUAUUUUUGGAGAUCGCUGGAUGGAUGGAUGGAGUUUGUAUAGACCGUCGAUAUUGCCACUUGGCUCGUUCAGGGACGAUCGUUAGGUAAGACAAGAUGAUGGCUUGCUUCGUGACACUUUGCGGUCGCGAUUCUUGCUGAGAAACGCAGAUUCAGGAAAAGGGUGAUUAGCGAUGAAAUUGACUCGGUGAGUGAUGAAGGGAAUUUUAAAGGCAGAGAAUACGUACGACAACGUUGUGAAGCUUCCGAUGGAAUUGCACCAGGUGUUCAAGCAACCCAGAUGUUGCAACUUAUUCUUCAGAGAGCGUAGGUUAGCUAGGAAAUUGAGAAUAUUCAGCCGUUGAUGAAUCGUUGAUGAGACUUUCAACGCCGAGGAAGCAAAAAGAAGCAAGUGUUCUUGUAAAUACGAAAACGUGGCCGUUCAUUAGCAGCGCCAUCCGGCGGCUAAUUUUUGAAACUGCAUAGACAAAAUGAUGAAACCAUUGAAAAUAUUGCAAGAUUCCAUACUAAUUCUAAUUCUAUGAUUCUUGUAAUUGUCACAAAAGUAUACGAUAAAUUACAAUUUUAUCCAUUAAACUGUCAUAGGUUGCUAUGAAGAGAUACUGUUUGGACUUUUACGCGUAAACAUGCACACAGAGCUGUCAAUAUGCGAAAAUACAAUGUUCAUUGAAAGUUACAAAAUACAGAACCAAAGUAUAGUACUUUUUACGAUACAAGGACAUUUCGAUCGGCAUUCCAUCGCUGAUAUUUCGAUUCAGCGACUAUUCUCGUCGCAGGGAAUACGAGUACCACACGACCGCAUUGUCAAGUUGAAAAAUUACACACAUCAAACGGAAGCUGCACGCUAAGCGCUCGUAACUGACGAAGAGUGUCAUCUCGACAUCGAAAUGGAAGAAAUUCGUUUCAGCGCCAAUGUCGGAAGGUUCAUUUCGAAUUUGGCGUGGAAUGCAAGAAGCCUGUUGCAACGCUAAAUUAGCGAAUUAUUCGGAAAUAGCUACGCUUUAAAUUAGAAAAAAAGCAACAGGUUGUAGGAAAACUUCGGGCGUUUUAAUCUUUCAAUUUUCAAAAGGUUCAAUUUUCCAGUCAUUCCAGGACGAUGAAAACUGCUACGAAAAUAAUUCCACGAUUUCCGGCGAUUAUACUGUGUUACUUCCGGUCGCCGGGAACACGAUGAUUCGCCCCAGCCAAAAUCCGUCGAUCGGAAUUUCCUCAACCAUUUUUGUGACACAUACGAGUCUUCCCCAUACGCUUUACGAAUGUUUCCCACUGUUCCCGUACCUGUAAUUCCCCUACGACACUUUUAAAGCAGCGGCACGUGACAAACACGCGUCUUAUCGAUAGACAUUUUCGCUUUUAACAAUAGUUUCAGUAACGAAGAUACGCAAAUAGAGCGCUUGAAAUUUACCUACUCGCGAGUACGACAAAUGUACUAAAUAAAGUUAUAAAGAACAAGAGACUAACCAAGUAAGAAUUAUGAGCGAAACGACACAGAGACAUCUAUUAAAAAACGCACGAUUUAUCAAUUGAACGCGGUAUACGCAAAUGGAUUGUUCAAGUGAAACACUUGUUUGUGUAAAUGCAGACAAAUAGUUUCUAUAAAGACUAAUUUUCUUACACGUGACGAUCAAUAAUUUUUCCAUUGCUCGAAUCUCUAAGAAUCUUGACAACUUUUCGACGAUUUUUUCACAUCAACUGGAGUUUGCAAACAUUUUCACGAGACCCAAACGCUUGUGUACGAACGAGCGCUAAAAGAGGGCGCUGUUUCGUUUCGAGGAUCACUGGGAUUUUGGUCGAAAUCUGCUAUAUGCCAGAGGAUGCUCACUUAUUAGGUGCUUUAUAUUCUCGCGAGGAUUUGCCGACGUGCUUUAAAACGGUAAUCAAAUUUCAUUAUUGGCUUCUUUACGUUGCCUGUUUUAUUUUCGGACGGCUACUCUUUAAGCUACGUGGAAACUGGCAAUAAUAGGACUUUGCUGGUGGAAUGGAAUCUUCCAUUGCUUGAUCUCUGAUUUAUUUUACUGUUCGUAGAAAUGUUUGAAGAAGCGAACUUUUUAUGGAAACGGACGAACCGUAAUUGAAAAUGAAAAUGUCUAACGGUAUAACGAAAUUCUUACGUUUAUUUUUUCCUCUAACUCUUUAUGUUCGUUUAUUUUUCUCGCGUCUUUUAUUGAUCUUAAAUUAACGAAGAAUUGAUAGAUAAAAUUCUCUCGUUUGCUUCGAACGCGACGCGAUAAAUUCAGCCAGAGAAAUCGAUUCCUGGAAUAUAAACGAUUUCGAAAUUAAAAAUACACCUGUUAAACAAAAUAGCGUCGUUUAUUCUCCUUACAAAGUAGAUGUUUCGAGAGAAUAACCUACGAUUAAUUUGAAUAUUUGAGAAGUUUUAUUGAUUUCAUAUUUCGCGAAUGUGCUGAAACGAUAAGAAAGAAGGCUGGAAUUCUCAGGGUAUUAAUUACGUUCAAUUAAGACCGAGGAUUCAUUACUUUGUUGCAUUCACACGACAGAUUCUAAUUACGCGAAACUUUUCCCAAUUUAAUUGCUCGAGCAGGAGCUGGCCUCUUCUUUAAACACCUUGUAAUUAUAUACCGAAAAUAAAAUCUAAAAAUCGUUCGUUAAUUAUCGUCAUUCCACUUGAAAGUGUUUUUAGCGACAUGACAGUUACGUAAUUAAUACGAUUAAUUAAAUAUCAAGACGAACGUUUUCUUAAUUACACCUUUGAUACCGCACGACCACGAUCAAAUAUUUUCUCUUUAAUUUCUCUUAUUCG